GACGAACCGUGCGAACGUUGUUCGGAAUCACUGGGCUUAAAGGGCGCGUAGGCGGCUUGCCAAGUCGGGGUGAAAUACUUCAGCUUAACUGGAGAAGUGCCUUCGAUACUGGCGGGCUUGAGGGAGGUAGGGGUCUUUGGAACUUCUGGUGGAGCGGUGAAAGUGCGUGAUAUCAGAAGGAACGCCGGUGGCGAAGGCGGCUUCCUGGACCGACACUGACGCUGAGGCGCGAAAGCUAGGGAG
rnacentral:rRNA from 1 species